rnacentral:rRNA from 1 species
CCUACGGGUGGCAGCAGUGAGGAAUAUUGGUCAAUGGGCGUAAGCCUGAACCAGCCAAGUCGCGUGAGGGAUGAAGGUUCUAUGGAUUGUAAACCUCUUUUAUAAGGGAAUAAAGUGCGGGACGUGUCCCGUUUUGUAUGUACCUUAUGAAUAAGGAUCGGCUAACUCCGUGCCAGCAGCCGCGGUAAUACGGAGGAUCCGAGCGUUAUCCGGAUUUAUUGGGUUUAAAGGGUGCGUAGGCUGCCUUUUAAGUCAGCGGUGAAAGUUUGUGGCUCAACCAUAGAAUUGCCGUUGAAACUGGUAGUCUUGAGUAUGUUUGAGGCAGGCGGAAUGCGUGGUGUAGCGGUGAAAUGCUUAGAUAUCACGCAGAACCCCGAUUGCGAAGGCAGCCUACCAAGCCAUGACUGACGCUGAUGCACGAAAGCGUGGGGAUCAAACAGGAUUAGAUACCCGUGUAGUC